rnacentral:lncRNA from 10 species
GGGGAGUGAGCUGACGCUCGGAAGGUGUCUUGAGAUUAUCAUCCGCUGAGGGUGGAAGCGGCCCCCGCAGACGCUCGGCAGGUGUCUUGAUAUUAUCAUCUGCUGAGGGUGGAGCUGAGGGUGGAAGGGGAGUGAGCUGACGCUCGGAAGGUGUCUUGAGAUUAUCAUCCGCUGAGGGUGGAAGGGGAUGGAGCAGACACUCGGCACGUGUCUUGAGAUUAUCAUCCGCUGAGGGUGGAGCUGAGGGUGGAGCUGAGGGUGGAAGGGGAGUGAGCAGACACUCGGGAGGUGUCUUGAGAUUAUCAUCCGCUGAGGGUGGAAGGGGAGUGAGCAGACACUCGGGAGGUGUCUUGAGGCUCAGGGAGUUAUCAGUUAUACAAUGUUGUUGAGUUGGAGGAGGUGGCUGGUGGCCCAUCCUGUUUUUUAAAGUUUCAGCUGUGAG